UGCAUGGUUGUGAGCAGACCGCGGGC
rnacentral:sRNA from 1 species